CUUGGCCAAACCACAAGUAGAUGGGAAUAGUGAUUAAUGCCUCAUUUCUGUGACCAUCUCCAUACUCUGCAAGGUGCUAUUCAAGUUGCUAUGAUAACUAGGUAAGUGAUAUCAUACUUCAGAAUGAGCUAUGACGCAAUUAAUGUAAGAAGGCAUUCAAGCAAAUUUGCACAGCAUGAAUACUUCAGUAUAUCCAUUUCCUCACAUUCUACUGAGAAGAAAAAGUGGAAAACAGAGCUAGAGAAAUGUCCC
rnacentral:lncRNA from 1 species